ensembl:lncRNA
GUUCACCUGUGUGACCAGAAGGGGUGGAGCAUGGCUCCACCUCUCAUAGACACCAUUUCAGGGCUGACUGCCACUGUAGAAGAAUGUCUCCCUGGAGAUACAUUAUCUGUGGGGUUUUUUUUUUCCAUGAGCCUAGAACUUUGGAGAUGGUUGAACAGUCAUUUUAAAUGUUCCUAAUGACACCUUACUAUUGUGUUAGUCCCUUGUUAUUAUUCAUCUUAGAUUACCAAUAUAUUUUGGUGAUCUUCUUGAUGGUUACAGACAUCCUUUAAACCCUUGUUAAAAAAUGGGCAUGAGAGUACGUUUUUUUUGGCACAUGGGGGACUUGACCUGCCAGCCAUGACUUCUCAUAACUCUUUCCAGUCCGUUGAGCAGUCAACUCCCUGAUACUCAAGUGCCUCAAAUAUAUGCCUAAAAAUGUAAUCCCUCAAUAACUUGUACUGUAGAUUCUUAUUUCCCAGCUAAACUGGAAUACUGCAAUUAAUAAUCAAACACAUCAUAUACAGGAACAGGGAGCGCCUGCGGAGGAUGGCGAGUGCCUGCAGAGCAAGGGAGCACCUGCGGAUGAUGGGAGUACCUGCAGAGAAGAAGGAGGGUUUGCGGAGGACACAGUGCCGUCGGAGAAUACAGGUAGUGCGCCGGCGGAGGUUAGAGGUAGUGCGCUGUCAGAAGAUAGAGGUGGAGCAUCUGUGGAGGAUGGGAGCACUGUCAGAAGACAGAGGUAGUGCGUCGGUAGAGGUUAGAGGUAGUGCACCAUUGGAGGAUAAAGGUGGAGGGUUUGCAGAGGACGGGAACACCUGAGGAGAUGGGGAGUGCCUGCAGAGGACAGGAACGUCGUCAGAGGAUAGUAGUUGUGCGCUGGCAAAGGUUAGAGGUAGUGUGCUAGCAGAGGAAAGAGGUGCAACAGCUGCGGGGGAUGGGAGAGCCAUCAGAAGAUAGAGGUAGUGCGCCAGCAGAGGUUAGAUGUAGUGCGACAUUGGAAGAUAGAGGUGGAGUGUCUGUGGAGAAUGAAAGCACCUGCAGAGAACAGGGAGCGCCAGCAGAGGAUGGGAGCACCGUCAGAAGAUAGAGGUAGCACGCCGGUGGAGGUUAGAUGUAGUGUGCCAUCAGAGAAUAGAGGUGGAGUACCUGCGGAGGACAGGGAGCACCUGUGGGGAACAGGGAGCGCUUGCAGAGGACAGGAGCACCGUCAGAAUAUAGAGGUAGUGCGCCAGCAGAGGUUAGAGGUAGUGCACCAUUGGAGGACAGAGGUGGAUGGUCUGUGGAGGACAGGAGCACCUGAAGAAAACAGGGAGCACCUACGGGGGACGGGAGCUCAGUCAGAAGACAAAGGUAGCACCAGCAGAGAUUAGAGGUAACACACCAGCAGAGGAUAAGAGGUAGCACGCCGGCAAAGGUUAGAGGUAGUGCACUGUCAGAUGAUAGAGGUGUAACGUAUGCGGAGAAAAAGAGGACCUGCGGAGAACAAGGAGUGCCUGCAGAUGAUGGGAGCACAAUCAGAAGAUAGAGGUAGCUUGCCGGCAGAGGUUAGAGGUAGUGCACUGUUGGAGGAUCAAAGUAGUGGGUCUGCAGAGAACAGGAGAACCUGCGGAGAACAGGGAGUGACUGCAGAGGACGGGAACACCGGCAGAAAACAGAAUUAGUGCACUGGCAGAGGUUAGAUGUAGUGCGCUGUUGGAGGAUAGAGGUGGAAUGUCUGCGGAGGAAAAGAGCACCUGCAGGGAACUGGAAGUAAUUGUAGAGGACAGGAGUGCCGUCAUAAGACAGAUUUAGUGCGCUGGCAGAGGUUAGAUGUAGUGUGCCAUCAGAAGAUAUAGGUGGAGCAUCUGCAGAGGACAGGAGCAUCUGCAGAGAACACAGAAGGCCUGCAGAUGAUGGGAGUGUUUUCAGAAGAUAGAGGUAGUGCGCUGGCAGAGGUUAGAUGUAGUGCCCCAUCAGAGGAUCGAGGUGGAGGGUCUGGGGAGGAUGAGAUCACCUGCAGAGAACAUGGAGAGCCUGUGCAGGACGGGAGCGCUGUUGGAAGACAGAGUUAGUGAGCUGGCAGAGUUUAGAUGCAGUGUGCCAUCACGGGAUAGAGGUGAAGAGUCUGUGGAGGACGGGAGCACCUGUGGAGAACAAAGAGUGUCUGCAGAUGACGGGAGCGCGAACAGAAGAUAGAGGUAGCACACUGGCAGUGGUUACAGGUAGUGCGCUGUCACAGGAUCGAAGUGCAAGAUGUGGGGAGGAUGGGAACAUCUGUGGAGAUCAAGGAGUGCCUGCAGAUGAUGGAAGCAUGAUCUGAAGAUAGAGGUAGCUUGCAGGCAGAGGUUAGAGGUAGUGUGCUGUUGGAGGAUUGAGGUGGAGGGUCUGCAGAGGACGGGAGCACCUGCGGCAAGCAGGGACUGACUGCGAAGAACGGGAGUGCUGUCAGAAGGAAUAGCUAGUGAACCGGCAGAGGUUAGAGGUAGUGUGCCUUCAGAGGACAUAGGUAGAGCACCUGUGGAGGAUGGGGGUACCUGCAGAGAACACAGAACACCUGGAGAUGAUGGGAGCACUGUCGGAAUGCGUAGUUAGUGCACCAGCAGAGGUUAGAUGUAGUGCAUCAUCAGAGGAUAUAGGUGGAGCAUAGGCAGACGACGGGAAAACCUACAGAGAUCAAGGAGUGCCUGCAGAUGACAGGAGUGUUGUCAGAAGACAGAGGUAGCGCGCCGGCAGAGGUUAGAGGUAGUGCGCUGUCGGAGAAUCGAGGUGGAGCGUCUGGGGAGGACGGGAGCAUUUGCGGACAAGAGGGAGCACGUGCGGAGGAUGGGAGUGCUGUCAGAAGGUAUAGUUAGUGAGCUGGCAGAGGUUAGAUGUAGUGCGCUGUCGGAGGAUCUAGGUGGAGCGUCUGGGGAGGACAGGAGCACCUGCGGGGAACAGAGACUGCUUGCAGAUGAUGGGAGCGUGGUUAGAAGAUAGAGGUAGUGCGCCAGCAGAGGUUAGAGACAGAGUGACAUCAGAGGAUCGAGGUGGAGAGUCUGCGGUGGAUGGGAGCACCUGCUACCAACAGGGAGCACCCGUGGAGGACAGGAGUGCUGUCAGAAGGCAUAGUUAGUGCGCCGGCAGAGGUUAGAUGUAGUGUGACUUCAGAGGAUGUAGAUGGAGCAUCUGUGGAGGAUGGGAGCACCUGCAGAGAACACAGAGCGCUGGCAGAUGAUGGGAGCGUUGUCAGAAGAUAGAGGUAGUGCGCCAGCAGAGGUUAGAGGUAGUGCGCUGUCGGAGGAUCGAGGUGGAGCGUCUGGGGAGGACGGGAGCAUUUGUGGAGAACAGGGAGCAGCUGUGGAGGACAGGAGUGCUGUCAGAAGUCAGUUAGUGCGCCAGCAGAGGUUAGAUGUAGUGUGCCUUCAGAGGAUAGAGGUGGAGCAUCUGCGGAGGAUAGGAGCACCUGCGGAGGACAGGAAGCAAUUGCCAAGGACAGGAGCAGCAUCAGAAGACAGAGUUAGUGCGCUGGCAGAGGUUAGAUGUAGUGCAUCAUCCGAGGACAGAUGUGGAGCGUCUGCAGAGGACAAGAGCAUCUGCGGAGGUCAAGGAGUGCCUGCAGAUGUUGGGAGUAUUGUCAGAAGAUAGAGGUAGUGCGCCAGCAGAGGUCAGAUGUAGUGCGCUGUCUGAGGAUAGAUGUGGAGCGUCUGCAGAGGACAAGAGCAUCUGCGGAGAACACAGACGGCUUGCAGAUAAUGGGAGCGUGGUUAGAAGAUUGAGGUAGUGCGCCGGCAGAGGUUAGAGGUAUUGUGCCAUCAGAGGAUCGAGGCGGAGGGUCUGCGGAGGAUCGGAGCACCUGCGGAGAACAGGGAGCACCUGUGGAGGAGAGGAGCGCUGUCAGAAGACAUAGUUAGUGCGCCGGCAGAGGUUAGAUGUAGUGUGCCUUCAGAGGAUAUAGGUGGAGCAUCUGCGGAGGAUAGGAGCACCUGCGGAGAACAGGAAGCGAUUGCCAAGGACACGAGCACCAUCAGAAGACAGAGUUAGUGCGCCGGCAGAGUUUAGAGGUAGUGCAUCAUCAGAGGAUAUACGUGAAGCGUCUGCGGAGGACAAGAGCAUCUGCGGAGAACAGAGACCACUUGCAGAUGAUGGGAGCGUGGUUAGGAGAUAGAGGUAGUGCGCCAGCAGAGGUUAGAGGUAUUGUGCCAUCAGAGGAUCGAGGUGGAGGGUCUGCGGAGGAUCGGAGCACCUGCGGAGAACAGGGAGCAUGUGCGGAGGACGG